GACGUAGGAUCCGAGCGUUGUCCGGAGUUACUGGGCGUAAAGGGCGCGCAGGCGGAUACGCGCAUCGGCGGUGAAAGCCCCCCGCUCAACGGGGGAGGGUCCGUCGAGAUGGCGUGUCUGGAGGCAGGGAGAGGCCAGUGGAAUUCCGGGUGUAGUGGUGAAAUGCGUAGAGAUCCGGAGGAACACCAGUGGCGAAGGCGGCUGGCUGGACCUGACCUGACGCUGAGGCGCGAAGGCGUGGGGAGCGAACGGGAUUAGAUACCCCAGUAGUCC
rnacentral:rRNA from 1 species